rnacentral:misc_RNA from 1 species
AACGCACCUUGCGCUCCUUGGCAUUCCGAGGAGCAUGCCUGUUUGAGUGUCAUUAAAUCAUCAACCACCUCAUCUUCUUGAGAGGGUUGGACUUGGAGGUUUCUGCUGGCCCCUUCUGGGGCCCGGCUCCUCUGAAAAGCAUUAGCAGGGGCUCAUAUUGUGCGAUCUGCGGCCUUGUGUGAUAGUCUAUCUACACUCGGCUCAGCCACAUUCACCCAGCUUCCAGCUGUCUGCUUGCGCGGACAACUCAUUGACCAAUUGACCUCAAAUCAGGUAGGACUACCCGCUGAACUUAA